rnacentral:rRNA from 1 species
UGCUUACACAUGCAAGUCGAACGAUGAACCUCCUUCGGGAGGGGAUUAGUGGCGAACGGGUGAGUAACACGUGGGCAAUCUGCCCUUCACUCUGGGACAAGCCCUGGAAACGGGGUCUAAUACCGGAUAUGACACGGGAUCGCAUGAUCUCCGUGUGGAAAGCUCCGGCGGUGAAGGAUGAGCCCGCGGCCUAUCAGCUUGUUGGUGGGGUGAUGGCCUACCAAGGCGACGACGGGUAGCCGGCCUGAGAGGGCGACCGGCCACACUGGGACUGAGACACGGCCCAGACUCCUACGGGAGGCAGCAGUGGGGAAUAUUGCACAAUGGGCGAAAGCCUGAUGCAGCGACGCCGCGUGAGGGAUGACGGCCUUCGGGUUGUAAACCUCUUUCAGCAGGGAAGAAGCGAGAGUGACGGUACCUGCAGAAGAAGCGCCGGCUAACUACGUGCCAGCAGCCGCGGUAAUACGUAGGGCGCAAGCGUUGUCCGGAAUUAUUGGGCGUAAAGAGCUCGUAGGCGGCUUGUCACGUCGGAUGUGAAAGCCCGGGGCUUAACCCCGGGUCUGCAUUCGAUACGGGCAGGCUAGAGUUCGGUAGGGGAGAUCGGAAUUCCUGGUGUAGCGGUGAAAUGCGCAGAUAUCAGGAGGAACACCGGUGGCGAAGGCGGAUCUCUGGGCCGAUACUGACGCUGAGGAGCGAAAGCGUGGGGAGCGAACAGGAUUAGAUACCCUGGUAGUCCACGCCGUAAACGUUGGGAACUAGGUGUGGGCGACAUUCCACGUCGUCCGUGCCGCAGCUAACGCAUUAAGUUCCCCGCCUGGGGAGUACGGCCGCAAGGCUAAAACUCAAAGGAAUUUGACGGGGGCCCGCACAAGCAGCGGAG